rnacentral:tRNA from 1 species
ACUAUUUUGGCAAAAAAAAUGUGAUGAUUUUAGAAUUCAUUAAUAUAUAAAUUUAUUAUAUAUGUAGUA